CUUGCUGGUGGAUUAGUGGCGAACGGGUGAGUAACACGUGAGUAACCUGCCCUUGACUCUGGGAUAAGCCUGGGAAACUGGGUCUAAUACCGGAUAUGACCUUCCAUCGCAUGGUGGUUGGUGGAAAGCUUUUGUGGUUUUGGAUGGACUCGCGGCCUAUCAGCUUGUUGGUGGGGUAAUGGCCUACCAAGGCGACGACGGGUAGCCGGCCUGAGAGGGUGACCGGCCACACUGGGACUGAGACACGGCCCAGACUCCUACGGGAGGCAGCAGUGGGGAAUAUUGCACAAUGGGCGCAAGCCUGAUGCANCGNCNCCGCGUGAGGGANGACGGCCUUCGGGUUGUAAACCUCUUUCAGUAGGGAAGAAGCGUAAGUGACGGUACCUGCAGAAGAAGCGCCGGCUAACUACGUGCCAGCAGCCGCGGUAAUACGUAGGGCGCAAGCGUUAUCCGGAAUUAUUGGGCGUAAAGAGCUCGUAGGCGGUUUGUCGCGUCUGCCGUGAAAGUCCGGGGCUCAACUCCGGAUCUGCGGUGGGUACGGGCAGACUAGAGUGAUGUAGGGGAGACUGGAAUUCCUGGUGUAGC
rnacentral:rRNA from 1 species